rnacentral:lncRNA from 1 species
AGGUCUGGGUUGUGUCCCCAGAGAGACCACAGUUGGCUGCGUGAGAGUCCCAGAACAGGAAAUGCAACAGCAGCCAGCACGCUGGCCCCAGAGUUCACUGAGCUCCAGGCUUACUUUCGCUGGGCAGCCUGGGCAAGUCAGACUCUUGGGGUUUCCAUCUGUAAAGCAGAUGCGGCAGUAAGAUAGGAGUGGAAGCCGGGGCCACAGCUUCCACGCCGAGACCUCUGUAAUAACGCAACCCAGAUGUGUGUUGUGAUAGUCUAGGCACUGUUUGGGCUUGUUUGACCUUCUCCAGACCAUUUUAAGUGGAUGCAACUGUCAUUGUCAUUAUACUCCUGGGGACAGUGCUCAGGUGAUCACAAAAGCAUUUGGCACCCCGUCCCAGUGACUGCUAUGGACACAACUCAACCCUUCUAGCCAUGCCUUUGAACCCCUGCUGGUCUUCUGCAUGUGACAAUCUACAAGCUGCUGCUUCAAGAUACCCGCAGAGAAGCCGCUGAGCUAUUCCAGAGACUACGCCCUAUUCUGAACAUCAUCACCUGCAGCUGGUUCCAGGCUCCAAGGAUGAAUUGGCGGAAUGGACUUUUCUCCCCUUUUCUUUAUAAGGCGUGUUCCCCGACAUUAAAGUUGAACCUUGAGAAGACUAGCAUGUCUUGGUUCCAUUGUUUCUCAACCCACCUAGGCUCCCUCUUUUCUUCCAGAUUCCAAGAUGCCUUCCAGGCUCGAACCUGGACAUGUGAGCCGCUGGCCAGCCCCCAACACUGCCUGGGCCACACCUACUCCAUCAGGCUGACCUUCGUGCCCACAAUCCACCUGCCCCACAGAAUCUUCUUCCUUCCCCUCUCCUCUUCUAGUCUCUCACUCAGACCCCAAGCCCCAGAACCCAAGCCCUGCCUACCUCUUUCUGCCCAGCUACAGGCUGUAGGCAUUUUUAUUGACCCAUCAGGGAUAGCUUGGGAGACAAGGUUACAUAGCAUCAUGUACAGGAG